rnacentral:rRNA from 1 species
CGGCGUGCCUAAUACAUGCAAGUCGAGCGGAGUGAUGAAGAAGCUUGCUUCUUCUGAUUUUAGCGGCGGACGGGUGAGUAACACGUGGGCAACCUACCUUGUAGAUUGGGAUAACUCCGGGAAACCGGGGGCUAAUACCGAAUAAUCCAUUUUGCUUCAUGGCGAGAUGUUAAAAGGCGGCUUCGGCUGUCACUACGAGAUGGGCCCGCGGCGCAUUAGCUAGUUGGUAGGGGUAAUGGCCUACCAAGGCGACGAUGCGUAGCCGACCUGAGAGGGUGAUCGGCCACACUGGGACUGAGACACGGCCCAGACUCCUACGGGAGGCAGCAGUAGGGAAUCUUCCGCAAUGGACGAAAGUCUGAUGGAGCAACGCCGCGUGAGUGAAUAAGGUUUUCGGAUCGUAAAACUCUGUUGUAAGGGAAGAACACGUACGAGAGUAACUGCUCGUACCUUGACGGUACCUUAUUAGAAAGCCACGGCUAACUACGUG